rnacentral:rRNA from 1 species
AGUGAACGCUGGCGGUAGGCCUAACACAUGCAAGUCGAACGGCAGCACAGUAAGAGCUUGCUCUUACGGGUGGCGAGUGGCGGACGGGUGAGGAAUACAUCGGAAUCUACUUUUUCGUGGGGGAUAACGUAGGGAAACUUACGCUAAUACCGCAUACGACCUACGGGUGAAAGCAGGGGAUCUUCGGACCUUGCGCGAUUGAAUGAGCCGAUGUCGGAUUAGCUAGUUGGCGGGGUAAAGGCCCACCAAGGCGACGAUCCGUAGCUGGUCUGAGAGGAUGAUCAGCCACACUGGAACUGAGGCACGGUCCAGACCCCUACGGGAGGCAGCAGUGGGGAAUAUUGGACAAUGGGCGCAAGCCUGAUCCAGCCAUACCGCGUGGGUGAAGAAGGCCUUCGGGUUGUAAAGCCCUUUUGUUGGGAAAGAAAAGCAGCAGGUUAAUACCCCGCUGUUCUGACGGUACCCAAAGAAUAAGCACCGGCUAACUUCGUG